rnacentral:rRNA from 1 species
GACGAACGCUGGCGGCGUGCCUAACACAUGCAAGUCGAACGAGGUCCAUCCUUCGGGAGAAGACCUAGUGGCGAACGGGUGAGUAACACGUGAGAAACCUGCCCCCGAAGACCGGGAUAACCCUCCGAAAGGAGAGCUAAUACCGGAUGCCCCCACCGAGCCGCAUGGCUUGGUGAGGAAAUGGAUUCCGCUUCGGGAGGGUCUCGCGGCCUAUCAGCUAGUUGGUGGGGUAACGGCCCACCAAGGCAUCGACGGGUAGCUGGUCUGAGAGGACGAUCAGCCACACUGGGACUGAGACACGGCCCAGACUCCUACGGGAGGCAGCAGUGGGGAAUCUUGCGCAAUGGGCGAAAGCCUGACGCAGCAACGCCGCGUGGGGGAUGAAGGCUCUCGGGUUGUAAACCCCUUUCAGCAGGGACGAAAUCAGACGGUACCUGCAGAAGAAGCUCCGGCUAACUACGUGCCAGCAGCCGCGGUAAU